AAAGACUUGUUUAGUUGAUACAGAUGGAUAAGUGAUAAGGCACCUGGAAUUGGUUGAGUCUGUAGACGUUUGGAUCAGAGGAUAAGCAGCAAGGAUUAAGACAGGAGUUUGCAGUUUCAACCAUGCCUGAACAGUUACAUCUACAGUAAGCUAUCCAUUGGACAAUGGUAAACGAUUUGGUGGGCCCAUUGAUAUUUUUAGAUACAGGUAAGACGUUAAAGAACAGAUGUUGAGGGAUCAAACUGACUGUUAUACAUUAAAGUGUGGGAAUAGGGAUAAACUGAUCUUGUACAGUGGCAUUAGGUUGGAGGAGGAAGUGAAGCCCAUCUUCUGUCCUGAGGACGGGACAAAGGAAGAGCAUGAGGAUGAUAGCACCACCCCUGGUCUGGAGUGGACUUACCCAGGUUAA